AGUUUAUUCAGAAAUAAUUUUUUGGAAUUAAAACAGCCACAUAGAGGCUGAAGAAAUUAAGAUAAUCAAAGAGAAAAGAAAACAACUUAAAACUAGGAAAGCUUACUUCGUACGAAAUACUCGUAUGCAAAAUGAGAUAUUCUCCAUAUAAUGUUUUCCAUGGUUGUUUCUGCACCGAACAAAAA